rnacentral:lncRNA from 1 species
GCAAUCAAGAGACGUACAAUUAUGAUGGAAAAAGACAAAAUAUACAAGGUUAGUGUCAUUUUAAAUAAAAUAAGUUUAAUUGACAUGCCAUUUUACCAGUAGGAAUCUACGUUUGUAUUAAUUAGUUAUUGAUACUAAAUUAAACCUAUACACCCAAAAAUUAAAUCCAGAAAAAAACCCAGUCCAAUACUAAUGAAUGGACAGGAAUAGUGUAUACAGUACAUAGGUUUACAUAUCAGAGCAUAAAUAGGUAAGGAACAAAAUUGUGAAGAAUGUUAAGAGACAUGCAUAUGUCUACCUGCUUUGAUAACAAAUUGUCAGACCUCCCUGUACAUGAACUUUCACUGAACUAAUACACAUUUAUAUUUCGGGGUCAGCUGAUGCUUUCCUCGCUGUGUUGAAGACCCAUUCAUGAUUGGUGGCCUUUGGCUGUUUUUGUUGAUUUGGUCAAGUAGUUGUCUCUGACAUAUUCCCCAUUUCCAUUCUCAAUUUUAUGUAAGGGCACCUUACAAUGGAUACAUUAUAAAAAUAAGAAGAUCUAUGUGAUAUGAUUACAAAUGAGACAACUCUCUACCAGAGACCAUAUAAUACAUAACAUAGUUUUAUUGAAAGAUUAUUCCUGCUUAUGUCUAAAGAAAGUAAGAAAACAAAAUCUUAAAUUAUUCAUUGGUAGUUGGUAUGGACUGCAACUUGAAUGGGAGAUGAUUGCAAUUGUUGAAUUUUAGAAUCAUGGAAAGAAGAAAUGAAAUCAUCGGUAGUCAAUAUGUUGUGACCCUCGACUAUUUGGGAUAUAAAAAGAAACAAAAAAUAGAAUAUUACUGGCUCUUUUGUUUAUUCUUUAGCUAGUCUUGUUGAGAAUUUAAAAAUAAAAAAUUGUGGUAUGAUUGCCAAUGAGACAACUCUCCUUCAGAGACCAAAAUGAUUUAGUAGUGACUUAAGGUCACGGUAUAUCCUUCAACAAUGAGCAAAACUCAUACUGUGUAUUGAGUUUACUCUGAGUAAUAUAAAUAGUUGUAAAAUAAAAAUCUUGAUUGUUUAGUUAUUUUAAAUUUAUAUAUUUUAGUCUAAGAGAAAGUUUAUUGACCACUUUGGAGAGAAUGCAAGGACUGAAAAAGCAAUUGAACAGUCCAUGUCUAAGACCAGAGGAGGCACUAGAAUAUAAACUACACAAUCAGCACUGGACUAUCAAAUGUUAUGUCAUCAAUUACUCGAUAUAGAAUCAGUACUGGACUAUAAAAUUUUAUGUAAACAAUUACUUACUACAGAUUCAGUACCGGACUAUCAAAUUUUAUCAAAUCAAAUUCAAUUACAUCCGCAUUGCCAUUAGUACAUUUCUAUCUCAUCAUGAAGUCAAUUUUAAUAUGGUUUUAAUUGGAUGUAUUGUAGACUAGAAUUUCAUGAAUAUUUUAUUGUUCAAUUUCAAGAUUUUCUUGUUCAAAACAAAUGCAU